UAUCACAACCCUGCAGCCAUGCUACCUAAUCUCAUUGGAUCUAACAAGUUAAACAUAGUUUAGAUCCGGUUAAUACUUAGAUGAGUGAUUUCCAAGGAAAUUCAAAAAUGUGUUGGGAAAC
rnacentral:rRNA from 1 species